rnacentral:tRNA from 1 species
GUAGAGAUGGUGUAACGGCAGCAUUGGGGUCUCCAAAGCCUUUGGUUCAGGUUCAAAUCCUGAUCUCUGCG